UAAUGAUACGCUUGUCUCAAAGAUUAAGCCAUGCAUGUCUAAGUAUAAGAAGAAUACUUCGAAACUGCGAACGGCUCAUUAACCAGUUAUAGUUUAUUUGAUAUUUCCUCUCUACUGGGAUAACCGUAGUAAUUCUAGAGCUAAUACCUGCGCAACGUCCCGACCGCAAGGAAGGGAUGCGUUUAUUAGAUCGAAACCAAUACGGGGGAACCCGUUCCAGGUGAUUCACAAUAAGCAAGCAAAUCGCACGGGCCUCCGCGCCGGGCGAUGAGUCAUU
rnacentral:rRNA from 1 species